AGGGAAUCUUCCACAAUGGACGAAAGUCUGAUGGAGCAACGCCGCGUGAGUGAAGAAGGUUUUCGGAUCGUAAAACUCUGUUGUUGGAGAAGAAUGUAUCUGAUAGUAACUGAUCAGGUAGUGACGGUAUCCAACCAGAAAGCCACGGCUAACUACGUGCCAGCAGCCGCGGUAAUACGUAGGUGGCAAGCGUUGUCCGGAUUUAUUGGGCGUAAAGCGAGCGCAGGCGGUUUCUUAAGUCUGAUGUGAAAGCCUUCGGCUCAACCGAAGAAGUGCAUCGGAAACUGGGAAACUUGAGUGCAGAAGAGGACAGUGGAACUCCAUGUGUAGCGGUGAAAUGCGUAGAUAUAUGGAAGAACACCAGUGGCGAAGGCGGCUGUCUGGUCUGUAACUGACGCUGAGGCUCGAAAGCAUGGGUAGCAAACAGG
rnacentral:rRNA from 1 species